rnacentral:rRNA from 1 species
GAUGAACGCUGGCGGCGUGCCUAAUACAUGCAAGUCGAGCGAACGGACGAGAAGCUUGCUUCUCUGAUGUUAGCGGCGGACGGGUGAGUAACACGUGGAUAACCUACCUAUAAGACUGGGAUAACUUCGGGAAACCGGAGCUAAUACCGGAUAAUAUUUUGAACCGCAUGGUUCAAAAGUGAAAGACGGUCUUGCUGUCCCUUAUAGAUGGAUCCGCGCUGCAUUAGCUAGUUGGUAAGGUAACGGCUUACCAAGGCAACGAUGCAUAGCCGACCUGAGAGGGUGAUCGGCCACACUGGAACUGAGACACGGUCCAGACUCCUACGGGAGGCAGCAGUAGGGAAUCUUCCGCAAUGGGCGGAAGCCUGACGGAGCAACGCCGCGUGAGUGAUGAAGGUCUUCGGAUCGUAAAACUCUGUUAUUAGGGAAGAACAUAUGUGUAAGUAACUGUGCACGUCUUGACGGUACCUAAUCAGAAAGCCACGGCUAACUACGUG